rnacentral:misc_RNA from 1 species
AACGCACAUUGCGCUCUCUGGUAUUCCGGAGAGCAUGCUUGUUUGAGUAUCAGUAAAACACCCUCAGUUUCUGUCUCUUUUGAGACGGGAACUGGACUUGAGCGAUCCCAACGGCGGUAGAAUCUUCUACUAUCGGCGGGUUGCUUGAAAUGCAGGUGCGGCAGGACACAUCUUCUGAGCUAUAAGCAUUACUUAUUUAGUCCCGUUAAAACGGACUAUUACUAUUGCUGCAGCUAAUAUAAAGGUUGAUUGUCCGUUUUGCCCGACUGAUGCAGGAAUUGUCAGAGGCUCUGUCCUUUGUUCAACUCGAUCUCAAAUCAAGUAAGACUACCCGCUGAACUUAA